rnacentral:rRNA from 1 species
CCUACGGGUGACCGCAGUAGGGAAUCUUUCACAAUGGGCGAAAGCCUGAUGGAGCAACGCCGCGUGCAGGAUGAAGGCCUUCGGGUUGUAAACUGCUUUUAUAAGCGGGAAAUAUGACGGUAACUUAUGAAUAAGGAUCGGCUAACUACGUGCCAGCAGCCGCGGUCAUACGUAGGAUCCGAGCAUUAUCCGGAGUGACUGGGUGUAAAGAGUUUCGUGGGUGGCAUAAUAAGGAGCUAGUGAAAUCUGGUUGGUCAACCAUUCACACUAUUAGCUAAACUGUUAAGCUCGAGACCGUUAGGGGUAACUGGAAUUUCUAGUGUAGGAGUGAAAUCCGGAGAUAUUAGAAGGAACACCAAUAGCGUAGGCAGGUUGCUGGGACGGUUCUGACACUAAGGCACGAAAGCGUAGGGAGCAAACGGGAUUAGAUACCCGGGUAGUC